rnacentral:siRNA from 1 species
UAGUUUGGUGGCACGCAUAUGGG